CAUAGACUAAAUAUAUAUAGAUACGCCACUCCCCUGUUGGGGCUGGCGACACUACCGCCACGCCAAAAUUACACCUGGUGGCAAUUCACAGUUUCAGUUCAAUUGGUUCGGUUGCAUCGUAGCAACAUUUGUUUUGCAAUCGUUGUUUAUUUUCUGUCAACAACAGCACUGCUCCAAACAUUUGGAUAUUUUGAGUCAUCUUAGAAAAACCCGGUCCGUGCGGCUAUGACCACCCCAAAUCCCAUGUACGGAACCGAUUCUUUUGGUGGUUCACAUCGUGAGACAUGAAGACAUGUCAGCAACAAACGGAACCUGCGGUUCAACCGUAGCCAGCCGAAAAAAAUCUCCUGCAGCCACUGAUGCCAGCCCAAGUCUCGGAUACGUUAGUUCUGCGAAGCGCAGGUACAGUCCACCAUAAGUUAGCGGCUAUAACCUUGCCGGCGCAGCCUUUCUCCGUGUGAACAUUAUUGCAUCAAAGGCUUCACCAGUGCCUGGUUCCUCAAGGACCAAGUCGUGUUCUACUGCGCGAACCAACUGCCGUUCAAGAAUAGCCAACAAAUGCCAAGAGGAACACACGGCCAAUCUAGAAUUCAUGAUGUAUACCGCAAAGAACCAAAGUACCAGCUCAAUCAAGUCAAACAAUGCCAGGAUAUUCG